rnacentral:rRNA from 1 species
UAGGGAAUAUUGGACAAUGGGCGAAAGCCUGAUGGAGCGACGUCGCGUGAUGGACGAAGUGCUUCGGCACGUAAACAUCUUUUAUGUGGGAUGAAAUUAUUGACAGUACCACAUGAAUAAGGGGCUCCUAACUCUGUGCCAGCAGGAGCGGUAAUACAGAGGCCCCAAGCGUUAUCCGGAAUCACUGGGCGUAAAGGGUGUCGAGGCGGUUGUAUUAGUCGUUCGUAAAAUCUACGAGCUUAACUUGUAGGCGGCGAACGAAACGGUACGACUUGAGGUUUGGAGAGGUGCGUGGAACUCACGGUGUAGGGGUGAAAUCCGUUGAUAUCGUGGGGAACACCAAAGGCGAAGGCAGCGCACUGGCCAAAAUCUGACGCUCACACACGAAAGCUAGGGUAGCGAAGAGGAUUAGAUACCCCUGUAGUCCCUGAGCGGGCUGGCAAGGCGCAU